GAAAACCAACACACAGACCCUCUUCUCCUUACUGAUUUUAUUGCUACUCACUAAAGAGAAGUAGAAAAGAUCACAAAAAGCAACACAUCUACGUGUUAAAAACCCAGUGGGUCUUGACUCUUGCCUUGACACAAUCAUGGGAGCCUGUCGACUUCUGCGCUCUGAAGUCCUCAUCCCAUGUAGGAGCUGAAGACAGUGCCUACAAGAGCCCACAUUUUAGGGCAAAGGCAAGAAUAGACAGUCUGAGUGGUUGCCCUGC
rnacentral:lncRNA from 10 species